AGGAUUGUAGCUCAGUGGUAGAGCAUUUGCUUUGCAUGCAGAGGGUCCCUGGUUUGAUCAAUCCCUGGCAUCUCCA